UAGGGAUGUCCCCACUAUGUAUGAACCUAUUCAACAUUUUCAAAUAAGGGGCCGUCCCCAUACCUCAUCCAGUAUGGGCACCAAAAGAUACCAUCCCUCAAUACCCCAUCCGAUAUGAGGAUGAAACGGGUCGUUCCUAUACCUUGUCCGGUGUGAGCACCAAAGUACCAAUCCUUCAUACCUCGUCCGGUAUGAGGCAACGUUUACGGUAGGGUUCUCUAUGUACCUGAUCCAUCCACCAUCUUCCAGGAUAUGCAAUAAGCCUACCGUUCAUCCAUUUACUUAAUCAAAUAAUUUUUCGUUUACCUUUAAUUUUUAGUUUUUCAAUUUAACUGUAAUCACAUAAAACAAGCAAUACAUGCAUUAAGGAAAUACAAUCGCAUCGUCAUACCAAUUCUAGUGUAUUAUCAUGCAUUUGAAACUGUAAAAUCAGAAAAUCAGUUAAACAUAGUAAACAGUAAUAAAUAACCGGUUUCGGCUCUAUUAGUAACCUGUAAUUAAUU
rnacentral:lncRNA from 1 species